GGACUACCAGGGUAUCUAAUCCCGUUCGCUCCCCUGGCUUUCGCGUCUCAGCGUCAGAUGGCGUCCAGGGACUCGCUUUCGCCACGGGCGUUCCUUCCGAUCUCAACGCAUUUCACCGCUCCACCGGAAGUUCCAGUCCCCCCUACGCCCCUCCAGGCCGGUCGUAUCGGCGCCCCUUCCCCGGUUGAGCCGGGGGCUUUCAGCGACCGACGUGCCUGCCCGCCUACACGCGCUUUAAGCCCAGUGAUUCCGAAUAACGUUCGCACGGUUCGUCUUACCGCGGCUGCUGGCAC
rnacentral:rRNA from 3 species